AUCCUUCGGUUUUUCGAAACAGAAUGCGUAUUAAAAUGCGAUUGACAUUUUCUUAGUUUUGGAGACAUUAUAUGCUUCAGUUUAGAACGAACCAAGGAGUGUACUCUCUGGGUCCAACCAGCAACCGAGACAUAAAACUUUGUGCGAUCUACUUGUCUUUUUUGUAAAUUUAAUCUUUUCAUUUGACAGCCAUUUUGAAAAGAGUUUACUACUUCAGUUCUUUGACCACCCG
rnacentral:lncRNA from 1 species